AAUUUUGGACAAUGGGGGAAACCCUGAUCCAGCCAUCCCGCGCGUAUGAUGAAGGCCUUCGGGUUGUAAAGUACUUUUGGCGGAGAAGAAAAGGUAUGCCCUAAUACGGGAUACUGCUGACGGUAUAUGCAGAACAAGCACCGGCUAACUACGUGCCAGCACCCGCGGUAGUACGUAGGGUGGAAGCGUUAAUCUGAAUUACUGGGCGUAAAGAGUGGGUAGGCGGUUGGGAAAGAAAGAUGUGAGAUCCCAGGGCUGAACCUUGGAACUGCAUUUUUAACUGCCGAGCUAGAGUAUGUCAGAGGGGGGUAGAAGUCCACGUGUAGCAGUGGAAUGCGUAGGUAUGUGGAGGAAUACCGAUGGCGAAGGCAGCCCCCUGGGAUAAUACUGACGCUCAGACACGAAAGCGUGGGGAGCAAACAGG
rnacentral:rRNA from 1 species